UUGUUUCUUAAUUUUUCGCCCUAAUUUGGCUUAUUGAGUUGAGGUUUUAUCGGAUCCAUUGUGUUAUGUGCUGGAGAAAAGACAUUCAAAACUGAAUUUAUUGGUAUUUUCUGGAAUUCAUUUGUUUUAGCAAGUGAUAAAAGGACCACAACGUGAAAGAUGUCUACGAUAUGGGGAAUAAGACAUAUUUAAAGCUGAAUUUAUUGGUGUUCUUUGGGUAUAUAGGGAGUUUUGUAACAUGGUGAAACGGAUAUUGGUAUACUCGAGUCAAGACGUGAAGAAAACGAAGGCUGCAAGUAAGCUUUUAUGGAUAGAUAAUGAGGCAUCGUGUAGCUUGGAGGCCGUUGAAAAGUGAUCAACAACGGUGCUUUUUUUUGGAUUUUGAUUUGAGACGAUUUAGAAUCCCUAUGAAAUCGUAACUCUUAAUGGAUUAGUCUACUCGACUAUAUAUAAUUACUAUUUCUAAGCUACUCAUUAUUUGACCCAUUCGAUUAUAAAUGGAUUGAAAUUGCAAUAUGUAAUUUUAAUGGUCUCCGUCAUUCGA